UACGAAGGGGGCUAGCGUUGUUCGGAAUUACUGGGCGUAAAGGGCGCGUAGGCGGUACUUCAAGUCAGGCGUGAAAGCCCCGGGCUCAACCUGGGAACCGCGCUUGAGACUGGAGAACUAGAGUUCGGGAGAGGAUGGUGGAAUUCCCAGUGUAGAGGUGAAAUUCGUAGAUAUUGGGAAGAACACCGAUGGCGAAGGCAGCCAUCUGGACCGGCACUGACGCUGAGGCGCGAAAGCGUGGGGAGCAAACAGG
rnacentral:rRNA from 1 species